rnacentral:rRNA from 1 species
UACCCGCUGAAUUUAAGCAUAUAAGUAAGCGGAGGAUAAGAAACUAAAUAGGAUUCCCUUAGUAAUGGCGAAUGAACAGGGAUAAGCUCAGCAUGGAAAUUGGGGCCUCUGGCCUUGAAUUGUAGUCUUGAGAUGUGCUGCCAACGGAGGCGCAGAUGUAAGCCUCUUGGAAAAGAGCAUCAGUGAGGGUGAGAGUCCCGUCUGUCAUCUGCAGUUCUCUGUGCACGGUGCAUUUUCUAAGAGUCACGUUCCUCGGGAUUGGAGCGCAAAUUGGGUGGUAAAUUUCAUCUAAAGCUAAAUAUUGGUUCGAGACCGAUAGCAAACAAGUACCAUGAGGGAAAGGUGAAAAGGACUUUGAAAAGAGAGUUAAAAGUGCCUGAAAUUGCUGAAAGGGAAGCGAAUGGAACCAGUUGUUCUUGGCGAGUAUUGGUGUUGUCUAAAGUGAUGGCUUGCCACUUCAACGCAAGUGUGGUGGCAGGUUUUGAUCUGGAUGCGAUACUGCUUCUCGCCUUGCAUGUCAACGUCAGUUCACAAUUGAGGAAAACUCUAGGGACAUGGUAAUUUGCUUCCGGGCGACUGAAUGUGCCUAGUCGAACUCAUCUGUGAACUGCUCCCUGUGUGUCUGGUAGCAGUGCUCUGUUGUGCACCGUCAAAAGCUUAAGCCUCGUCUCGUGCCUGGCUUUCGCUGUCUGUCAGUGCCUGGAGCACGUCCUUGACAUAAGUACGAUGACGAAAUGGUUUUAUUCGACCCGUCUUGAAACACGGACCAAGGAGUCUAACAUAUGUGCAAGUUCACGGGUGGUAAACCUUCUUGCGCAAUGAAAGUGACUGCUGGGAUAUCUGCACCAGCAACCGACCAAUCAAUUGUGAGAGGUUUGAGUAUGAGCAUAUCUGUUAGGACCCGAAAGAUGGUGAACUAUGCCUGAGAAGGGUGAAGUCAGGGGAAACUCUGAUGGAGGCUCGUAGCGAUACUGACGUGCAAAUCGUUCGUCAUACUGGGUAUAGGCGA